AUUGAACGCUGGCGGCAGGCCUAACACAUGCAAGUCGAGCGGAUGAAGGGAGCUUGCUCCUGGAUUCAGCGGCGGACGGGUGAGUAAUGCCUAGGAAUCUGCCUGGUAGUGGGGGAUAACGUCCGGAAACGGGCGCUAAUACCGCAUACGUCCUGAGGGAGAAAGUGGGGGAUCUUCGGACCUCACGCUAUCAGAUGAGCCUAGGUCGGAUUAGCUAGUUGGUGGGGUAAAGGCCUACCAAGGCGACGAUCCGUAACUGGUCUGAGAGGAUGAUCAGUCACACUGGUACUGAGACACGGUCCAGACUCCUACGGGAGGCAGCAGUGGGGAAUAUUGGACAAAGGGCGAAAGCCUGAUCCAGCCAUGCCGCGUGUGUGAAGAAGGUCUUCGGAUUGUAAAGCACUUUAAGUUGGGAGGAAGGGCAGUAAGUUAAUACCUUGCUGUUUUGACGUUACCAACAGAAUAAGCACCGGCUAACUUCGUG
rnacentral:rRNA from 1 species